rnacentral:rRNA from 1 species
GACGAACGCUGGCGGCGUGCUUAACACAUGCAAGUCGAACGGAAAGGCCCUGCUUUUGUGGGGUGCUCGAGUGGCGAACGGGUGAGUAACACGUGAGUAACCUGCCCUUGACUUUGGGAUAACUUCAGGAAACUGGGGCUAAUACCGGAUAGGAGCUCCUGCUGCAUGGUGGGGGUUGGAAAGUUUCGGCGGUUGGGGAUGGACUCGCGGCUUAUCAGCUUGUUGGUGGGGUAGUGGCUUACCAAGGCUUUGACGGGUAGCCGGCCUGAGAGGGUGACCGGCCACAUUGGGACUGAGAUACGGCCCAGACUCCUACGGGAGGCAGCAGUAGGGAAUAUUGCACAAUGGGCGGAAGCCUGAUGCAGCAACGCCGCGUGCGGGAUGACGGCCUUCGGGUUGUAAACCGCUUUCGCCUGUGACGAAGCGUGAGUGACGGUAAUGGGUAAAGAAGCACCGGCUAACUACAUG